GCCAUGCAUGUCUAAGUAUAAGCAAUCUAUACCGUGAAACUGCGAAUGGCUCAUUAAAUCAGUUAUAGUCUAUUUGAUAGUACCUUUACUUGAAUAACUGUGGUAAUUCUAGAGCUAAUACAUGCUAAAAACCUCGACUUCGGAAGGGGUGUAUUUAUUAGAUAAAAAACCAAUGCCCUUCGGGGCUCUUUGGUGAUUCAUAAUAACUUAACGAAUCGCAUGGCCUUGCGCCGGCGAUGGUUCAUUCAAAUUUCUGCCCUAUCAACUUUCGAUGGUAGGAUAGUGGCCUACCAUGGUCUUAACGGGUAACGGGGAAUUAGGGUUCUAUUCCGGAGAGGGAGCCUGAGAAACGGCUACCACAUCCAAGGAAGGCAGCAGGCGCGCAAAUUACCCAAUCCCGACACGGGGAGGUAGUGACAAUAAAUACUGAUACAGGGCUCUUUAGGGUCUUGUAAUUGGAAUGAGAACAAUUUAAAUCCCUUAACGAGGAACAAUUGGAGGGCAAGUCUGGUGCCAGCAGCCGCGGUAAUUCCAGCUCCAAUAGCGUAUAUUAAAGUUGUUGCAGUUAAAAAGCUCGUAGUUGAACUUUGGGUCUGGCUGAUCUGUCCUCCUAAUCGAGCGCACGGAUUCGGUCGGACCUUUCCUUCUGGGGAACCCUAUGCCCUUCACUGGGCGUAGUGGGGAACCAG
rnacentral:rRNA from 1 species